ACCGGCGGCACGGGUGAGUAACACGUAUCCAACCUGCCGCUUACUCGGGAGUAGACUUCGUAAGAAAGAUUAAUACCGACUGGUAUAAAGAGUUCGCAUGUUCUCUUUAUUAAAGAAUUUCGGUAAGCGAUGGGGAUGCGUUCCAUUAGAUAGUUGGCGGGGUAACGGCCCACCAAGUCUACGAUGGAUAGGGGUUCUGAGAGGAAGGUCCCCCACAUUGGAACUGAGACACGGUCCAAACUCCUACGGGAGGCAGCAGUGAGGAAUAUUGGUCAAUGGACGAGAGUCUGAACCAGCCAAAGUAGCGUGAAGGGUGACUGCCCUAUGGGUUGUAAACUUCUUUUAUAAGGGAAUAAAGUGAGGGACGUGUCCCUUUUUGUAUGUACCUUAUGAAUAAGGAUCGGCUAACUCCGUGCCAGCAGCGGC
rnacentral:rRNA from 1 species